CAGCCGCGGUAUUCCAGCUCCAAUAGCGUAUAUUAAAGUUGUUGCAGUUAAAAAGCUCGUAGUUGAAUUUCGGGAUUGACGUGACGGUCAUGCCUUAAGGGGUAUGAACUGUUACUGUUGAUUUCUCACCUUCUGGAGAAACUUGAUGUCCUUUAUUGGGUGUCUUGCGGAUCCAGGACCUUUACCUUGAAAAAAUUAGAGUGUUUAAAGCAGGCAUUUUUGCUCGAAUACAUUAGCAUGGAAUAAUAGAAUAGGACGGCAUGGUUCUAUUUUGUUGGUUUCUAGGAUCACCGUAAUGAUUAAUAGGGAUAGUUGGGGGCAUUAGUAUUCAAUUGUCAUAGGUGAAAUUCUUGGAUUUAUUGAAGACUAACUACUGCGAAAGCAUUUGCCAAGGAUGUUUUCAUUAAUCAAGAACGAAAGUUAGGGGAUCGAAGACGAUCAGAUACCGUCGUAGUCUUAACCAUAAACUAUGCCGACUAGGAAUCAGACGAUGUUAAUUUUUUAAUGACUCGUUUGGCACCUUACG
rnacentral:rRNA from 1 species